UACGUAGGGGGCAAGCGUUACUCGGAUUCACUGGGCGUAAAGAGCGCGUAGGCGGCUGGCCAAGCGUGGUGUGAAAUCUCCGGGCUCAACCCGGAAACUGCACCGCGAACUGGCCUGGCUGGAGUGCAGGAGAGGGCGGCGGAAUUCCCGGUGUAGCGGUGGAAUGCGUAGAUAUCAGGAGGAACACCGGUGGCGAAGGCGGGUCUCUGGGCCGAUACUGACGCUGAGGAGCGAAAGCGUGGGGAGCGAACAGG
rnacentral:rRNA from 1 species